UACGUAGGGUGCAAGCGUUGUCCGGAAUUAUUGGGCGUAAAGAGCUCGUAGGCGGUCUGUCGCGUCGGCUGUGAAAACUCGGGGCUCAACCCCGAGCCUGCAGUCGAUACGGGCAGACUAGAGUGCUGUAGGGGAGACUGGAAUUCCUGGUGUAGCGGUGAAAUGCGCAGAUAUCAGGAAGAACACCCAUGGCGAAAGCAGCUUUCUGGGACGGUACUGACGCUGGAGACGCGAAAGCGUGGGGAGCGAACAGG
rnacentral:rRNA from 1 species